AAUGAGGUGGCAGAGGGGUAUGUAGUCCGCUGUAAACGGAAAGUAGAAGAGUUCGAAUCUCUUUCUCGUUA
rnacentral:tRNA from 1 species